UGACCCCCGCUUGUUUUUGGACCACGAGAAAACCCCGCAGCAGCAUCAACACCGCCCGGAACCAAAACUCAGCAGUUGAUGUUUCCACUCGGAUCCAACCCAUCCAGAGAAGCUCGAUCUGCUGAUCCCGGUAUCCAGUUCCCAAUGCUCAUUCUCAUAUUUAUUCAAUAAAUCUGUUAAACCUUU